CUGGAAUCGCUAGUAAUCGCGGAUCAGAAUGCCGCGGUGAAUACGUUCCCGGGUCUUGUACACACCGCCCGUCACACCAUGGGAGUCGGAAAUGCCCGAAGUCUGUGACCCAACCUGAAAGGGAGGGAGCAGCCGAAGGCAGGUCGGAUGACUGGGGUGAAGUCGUAACAAGGUAUC
rnacentral:rRNA from 1 species